UACGUAGGUGGCAAGCGUUGUCCGGAUUUACUGGGCGUAAAGAGCGCGCAGGCGGUCGAUCAAGUCGCGUGUGAAAGCCCCCGGCUCAACUGGGGAGGGUCACGCGAUACUGACCGACUCGAAGGCAGGAGAGGGUAGUGGAAUUCCCGGUGUAGUGGUGAAAUGCGUAGAUAUCUGGAGGAUCACCGGUGGCGAAGGCGGCAUCCUGGACCGACACUGACGCUGAGGAGCGAAAGCCAGGGGAGCAAACGGG
rnacentral:rRNA from 1 species